GGCAUCCACUUGCAGGAAAGGUCCAAAGGAAAACACCGCGCAGCCCCGAAGUAAAGACAGAAAGCCAAAAUGCCGGGGUACACGCCCUAAGCCCGGUUAGUACGUGCCUAUGACCGGUCGUGGUGAUGGCAAUUAAUUUCUUAGGAAAAGGACGGAGGAAUGUAGACAAUUAGGAAACAGUUAAGUUUGUAAUCUCAGUGAAGAGGGAGAGACGGAGACAGACACACACCCACAGACAGAGAGCGAGCGAAGAACGCCAAGCAUGAGACAACAAAAACAAGACCAAAAUCAGAUUUGGGAAACUGAAAAAAUACAGGAUUACAGCAUUCAGCUUAGCAUUUACUGAGGCCCUGAAAAGAUCCAAAAGCUUUUCAUAAAAAUGCUCCAGCAACUGCCACAUAUCGUACUCUCACUUUCUCAGGAGGAAAGAAAGAAUCCAGGCAGCAGUUUUGCAGGCAACAGCUAACUCUGUGAGCAUCAUCCACAAGGGGACAGCAUCCUCAUCCACACUGGAAAGAUGCAGUUUGUGUCCACGAAGAACAGAAAGAGGAGCAGCCAUUGCUGAAAGCACCGAAAAAUUAAGAAAAAAAAAAAAAAAAGAAGGAAAAAGAAGGCGUUUCCUGGAUUAUUACUUCUGGACAGAGAGGGAGGAGAGGUGAGGCUGGGCAUGCAUGUCAGUUAUCAAACCCCACCCAAACACGGGAUGAGCCUUUUGUUUCUUAGACAGCAAGAGUAAGGUGAUUUGCAAUAUUAAUGCAAAGUUUGUGUGACAGAUAAGGACUCUCUGGAAUAACAAAUAAUAAUUUUAGGAGAAUGUGAUGACAAGAAUUAAAUAUUACUGGAACAGAAUCAGAAUGUAUCUAACAGGAGGGGGAAAAUGCACUAAUAUCGAACACUAUUCUGAUUUUACAGUUCUCAUCUUCAUAUUCUCAGUGUGCUCCUACUGGGAUGCAAUACACUCAUGCCUCUUCUUUUUCUAGAAGCAAAAAGUUUCUUCACCACAGUGCACAUGGAAAGGAUACUCAUGAAAUAAAAGGUUUAGUUUCUGUUAAUGCAGCAUGUAAAUGACUUCGAAGAGUUACACUGUUAGAAUGACCUGUGCCUAGUUAGAAUGACCUAGUCCAUAGUUCUGUCCAUAACACCUUUUCACCUCGCUGAUGAACAUCAAGGGGAUAAAGACUUCAGAAAAUUCCCACAGUUAUCUAGUUCCUGAUCUGUCACACACACACACACACACACAAUAUCUACCCUCCUAUUUUCUUCUUUAGAAAUGCUACGCCCAGACUUUGUCUUGUUAUUUAGUAAGAGUGCCUUUUGUAACUUAGCUGAAAUUCCCACCUGAUUAUGAAGUAUUAAAAAUAUGUAGAGCCUACGCAAUCUAUUACAGAAAGGAAAUCACGGAAAUAAAAUUACAGAGAAACAGCAAUAUCCUUCUCUUCCUACGCAAGCUCCAUCUCACUCAAGAAAUGCUAUUAUACCGUCUCCUUGCUGACUUGUCAAUUUACCUGCCCUUUAUUAAAACACAGACACAUGACAGCAGAAAUUACUGCAGUUUGAAUUACUCUGUGUGUGAAUACUAUUCAAUAGACCUUGAUUUCACCAACAUUUUCAAUUAAAAAAAGUAAUUAUUUGUGAAAACAAACCACUAUGAUAUAUAUUCUUUUUCUGACCUAUGUUUCCUUCAGCUUUGAAAGCAUGAAAUAAUGAAUGAAUUAACUUUUCUAUUUAUGAACACCUUUUAUACUUCCAUCACUAAUUGCUUUGUGUUACUUCUUAACACAGCAUCAGCACAAUGUGAAGAAAGGGCCCAGCACUAAAAUGAAACUCCGACUGUUCAAAAAACUGUUUUUGACUGAGCAGUCAAGUCUGCAUUUGCAGUCUGUUCAAUAAGAAAGAUGUAAAGUGGCAAGCACUGUUUUAAAAAUCCAGCUUCAUAAAUUUUCUAGUAUAACAUUUUUACUGUUUCCUGACUAAUUAGGUAUACAUGCAUACAUGUAUAUAUAUACAUAGAUAUAUAAUUGACCGAAACACAAGAUUACAUAGAACUAGAUCACCAAAAGAUGCUGUUUAUUCCCAGAAUUCACCCCUCCAUGCUGGCUGCACACUAUUGUUGUAAUUAUCAGUGGGCCUGAUCCUGAAAUAGUGCAAUACAAGUCACUUUUUUUGGAUGAAUAAUGUCUCUGAAACGACCUGAACUAUUUCUCAGAGCACCAGUUCCUGGACACAUAUAUGCCACACAAGAAUCUGAGUUUAUAAAAGGAAACUAAAGACAUUCGGUGCAUGCUGCAAACAGUAACAGAAUGUACAGAAUUCUGCUACAGGAAAAAACCUUCCUAUUUUCUUAACAAUGGGAUCUGAAGAUAAACAUUUGUGAGAAACAUUCAGACACACCAUUUCUACAGCCUUAUUUUAAGAGAUCUUCAAAAGGAGGCUCGGGAAAAGCGAAGCCUUUUAAGAAGAAAAUAUAAAAUAGCAGGUUCCAUGCCUGCAAAACUGGAAUAUUUUAAAUUUUCUAGACAGUGAAGGUUAAAGCUAUCCUGCAUUCUCAUAGUUCUCUCUCUCCUUUCAAUCAAUCUCAUUGAUUUUUUUUAAAGGUCAGAGGCUAUACCUUCAUUGAUCAAAGAAACAGCCUGACACAGCGAAAGAGUCUGCCAAUUCCAGACAGAUCAAUCACACCUUUGUCUGCUUUUGAUACAUUAUGGUUAUUUAUUCUGCAUCACCACGACUUUCUGUCGCAUGGCUCUUAAUGUAAUAAUGCUUCUUGGGGACAACAAUAAAAAAGGGGGGAGGGGAAAUAUUCUAUUUAAAAUAUUUUAAGCCUCUCUCUGGUAUUUCUAAGGGUGGCUUAUGAUGGAACUUGGUCAACUUGUUUGAUUUCAUUUUUGCCUUGGAAAAGAGCUCCUGUUCUGGUAUUUAGCUCUUCUUGGUCAGCACUUUGUAGGAUUUUAUAAAGGCAGUCCUUUGAAAACAAUUCAUGCAAACUGUUUUUAGAAAAGUAAUUAGAUCUUGAUAGGACAACACUUAUGAUCUAAUCACAACCAUAAUUUCCCAUGUUUAUGCACUGUUUUAGAAAUGUUUUAAUAAAUAGAAUGUAACCGAUACUCAGCUACAGCUACGGACUGCUUUAUGACUGUAAAAUGAAACUAAAUGGUCAGCCUAAAAUAAUUACUAGGAAAUAUUGCUGAAUAAACAGAUCUAAGUGCUGAAAAGCUCCUGGCUUUGCAAACUAUUAUGCUGAAAGCCAGCUAGAGCUUUAAAAAAUGCACUAUAUGCUCACUGUCUGUCGUGACUGAAAGUUCUAUGCUAUUAUUUAGCUUUUCAUAGCUUCUGCAAGAAGUUUUCAAAAUUCCUCUUGGUCUAAUACCAAAUCUUUUGUUCACAUUUGGUAGCAUAUCACUUCACAAGCAGUUUCUCAAGAGAAGUCCCUUUUGGGUCUUGGGAUAUUGGUUAUAAGUAAAAGCAUUAAAAUCCGGUUCUAAAAGUGAAAUUGUAGCCUAAGAGAAAUCAGUGGCAAAAUGCCCAGUGACUUCAGUGGAGUCAGGACCUCACUGUGUGAAGUUACGUCUCAACUCCUUGAAUCCAAACUACCUCCAGUAGAAAAGGCAGCUUGUGGGAUUUCAUAGGACCAUAACCUUAUAAAGAUUAAAAAAAGAAAAAAACCUCACAACACAUUUCUUAGCAAAAUAGCUAACAAAGCUUUGUAAGCUCUACGUAACACUCAGCUUUAUCAAAGACAGUGGAGCUGUUCAGUAAAGUUAAGCAUGCAAAUCUUUGCAGAAUCAGGAUAUCAGGUAAUAAGACAUAAUCACCAUCGUUACAACAUUAAAAUAAGAUAUACGAUAAUCCAAACACUUGGCAUUGGUUUCUGAUUUCAUUGUGCCUGCUCUGUAAAUUAUCGUGCACCCAAUUUACAAUUACAUCAGCAUUAUUAUGUAGAGCAAAAGGUAAGUGGUAUACAAAGCUGAAAUAUUAAACCCAUUAAAAAGUUAUGAGUUUGACAGAGUCCCUACAUGUAUUUGUGUGCAUGCCAAGAAAUGCAUUUGAAAACCUUUAACAAAAGGAAACUUGCCUUCCAGUGAUAAACUGCAAUGCCUAAACGACAUUGCUAAAAUGCGACCGCCACUCUCGAAGGCCAAGAGACCUUAAAAGCGGUUGCUGGCUGAGAGCAUUAUACAAAAACAUACAGUUUCUUCUGUAAAGAAAUAAAGCUGAAUGCAAAACAUUUCAGAGAAGUUUUGAAUAAGUCUAUUUGUCCAGCUUACUUUGCAAAGGCUCUGAAGAAAACAGCACCAUAAACACUUUCAGUCCCCACACAAGGGCUAAACAAAGAGUCCUCUUUCUAGCCAUUUAAUCCAGUAAUUUAUUUUUUCAACCAUCACAUAAAUCGAAACACAGCUGUAACCAAUGACUUGCAGAUCCAGUUCCCUGCCAGCUGGAUCCUGUUCUGCUGAAGCAGCAAGAUUUUUACAUUGUUCACUUCGGUACAUCUGGAGAAAUCAUUUGGGUUCAAAGGUGACUAGAAAAGCUCUUUAAAUAAACUCAACCAGCAGUGAAGAGAGGCCUACAUAUCUACAAAAGCUCCAUGGAGUUCUGUUUAAAAAGUUCUUUUCUUCAAAUUAGUGCACAGAGCAGUUUGCUUCUUUAAAUGUUUUAUGAUUAUGACAUUUUAAUUGAAUUAUACACUCAAAUAUGUAUUUUGAUGAU